GCUUAACACAUGCAAGUCGAGGGGCAGCACAGGUAGCAAUACCGGGUGGCGACCGGCGCACGGGUGAGUAACGCGUAUGCAACUUACCUAUCAGAGGGGGAUAACCCGGCGAAAGUCGGACUAAUACCGCAUGAAGCAGGGGCCCCGCAUGGGGAUAUUUGCUAAAGAUUCAUCGCUGAUAGAUAGGCAUGCGUUCCAUUAGGCAGUUGGCGGGGUAACGGCCCACCAAACCGACGAUGGAUAGGGGUUCUGAGAGGAAGGUCCCCCACAUUGGUACUGAGACACGGACCAAACUCCUACGGGAGGCAGCAGUGAGGAAUAUUGGUCAAUGGCCGAGAGGCUGAACCAGCCAAGUCGCGUGAGGGAUGAAGGUUCUAUGGAUCGUAAACCUCUUUUAUAAGGGAAUAAAGUGCGGGACGUGUCCCGUUUUGUAUGUACCUUAUGAAUAAGGAUCGGCUAACUCCGUGCCAGCAGCCGCGGUAAUACGGAGGAUCCGAGCGUUAUCCGGAUUUAUUGGGUUUAAAGGGUGCGUAGGCGGCCUUUUAAGUCAGCGGUGAAAGUCUGUGGCUCAACCAUAGAAUUGCCGUUGAAACUGGGGGGCUUGAGUAUGUUUGAGGCAGGCGGAAUGCGUGGUGUAGCGGUGAAAUGCAUAGAUAUCACGCAGAACCCCGAUUGCGAAGGCAGCCUGCCAAGCCAUUACUGACGCUGAUGCACGAAAGCGUGGGGAUCAAACAGGAUUAGAUACCCUGGUAGUCCACGCAGUAAACGAUGAUCACUAGCUGUUUGCGAUACACUGUAAGCGGCACAGCGAAAGCGUUAAGUGAUCCACCUGGGGAGUACGCCGGCAACGGUGAAACUCAAAGGAAUUGACGGGGGCCCGCACAAGCGGAGGAACAUGUGGUUUAAUUCGAUGAUACGCGAGGAACCUUACCCGGGUUUGAACGCAUUCGGACCGAGGUGGAAACACCUUUUCUAGCAAUAGCCGUUUGCGAGGUGCUGCAUGGUUGUCGUCAGCUCGUGCCGUGAGGUGUCGGCUUAAGUGCCAUAACGAGCGCAACCCUUGCCACUAGUUACUAACAGGUGAUGCUGAGGACUCUGGUGGGACUGCCAGCGUAAGCUGCGAGGAAGGCGGGGAUGACGUCAAAUCAGCACGGCCCUUACAUCCGGGGCGACACACGUGUUACAAUGGCGUGGACAAAGGGAGGCCACCUGGCGACAGGGAGCGAAUCCCCAAACCACGUCUCAGUUCGGAUCGGAGUCUGCAACCCGACUCCGUGAAGCUGGAUUCGCUAGUAAUCGCGCAUCAGCCAUGGCGCGGUGAAUACGUUCCCGGGCCUUGUACACACCGCCCGUCAAGCCAUGGGAGCCGGGGGUACCUGAAGUCCGUAACCGAAAGGAUCGGCCUAGGGUAAAACUGGUGACUGGGGCUAAGUCGU
rnacentral:rRNA from 1 species